GUUAUAGGGUCAAGCGAAUAAGUGCAUGUGGUGGAUGCCUUGGCGAUUACAGGCGAUGAAGGACGUAGUAGCCUGCGAAAAGCUGCGGGGAGCUGGCAAACRAGCUUUGAUCCGCAGAURUCCGAAUGGGGAAACCCGGCCCGWAUGGGUCAUCCCUUGCUGAAUACAUAGGCAAGGGAAGCGAACGCAGYGAACUGAAACAUCUAAGUAGCUGYAGGAACAGAAAUCAACCGAGAUUCCCAAAGUAGUGGCGAGCGAAAUGGGAUCAGCCUUGUACUCUUUAGCAGUAUUGYUAGCARARCGGAAUGGAAAGUCCGGCCAUAGYGGGUGAUAGCCCCGUAUGCGAAARCAGUAUUGUGGAACUAGGUGUACGACAAGUAGGGCGGGACACGUGAAAUCCUGUCUGAAGAUGGGGGGACCAUCCUCCAAGGCUAAAUACUCGUAAUCGACCGAUAGUGAACCAGUACCGUGAGGGAAAGGCGAAAAGAACCCCGGRAGGGGAGUGAAAUAGAUCCUGAAACCGYAUGCAUACAAACAGUMGGAGCCUSBWDDNNGGGUGACKGCGUACCUUUUGUAUAAUGGGUCAGCGACUUACAUUCAGUGGCAAGSUUAACCGAWUAGGGAAGSCGUAGCGAAAGCGAGUCCGAAUAGGGCGUUSAGUCGCUGGGUGUAGACCCGAAACCARRUGAUCUAUCCAUGGCCAGGUUGAAGGUGCGGUAACACGUACUGGAGGACCGAACCCACUAACGUUGAAAAGUUAGGGGAUGAGCUGUGGAUAGGGGUGAAAGGCUAAACAAAYYUGGAAAUAGCUGGUUCUCUCCGAAAACUAUUUAGGUAGUGCCUCRWGUMUYACCUUCGGGGGUAGAGCACUGUCAUGGUUGGGGGGUCUAUUGCUGAUUACCCCGCCAUAGCAAACUCCGAAUACCGAAGAGUGCAAUCACGGGAGACAGACAUCGGGUGCUAACGUCCGGUGUCAAGAGGGAAACAACCCAGACCGCCAGCUAAGGUCCCNAAANAUUGGCUAAGUGGGAAACGAAGUGGGAAGGCUAAAACAGUCAGGAGGUUGGCUUAGAAGCAGCCACCCUUUAAAGAAAGCGUAAUAGCUCACUGAUCGAGUCGUCCUGCGCGGAAGAUGUAACGGGGCUAAGCHAKWYACCGAAGCUGCGGAYGCRYGYWWRKNNNGNNUGGUAGGAGAGCGUUCYGUAAGCCUGYGAAGGUGYMYUGWAAAGKRUGCUGGAGGUAUCRGAAGUGCGAAUGCUGACAUGAGUAGCGAUAAAGGGGGUGAAAGGCCCCCUCGCCGUAAGCCCAAGGUUUCCUACGCAACGUUCAUCGGCGUAGGGUGAGUCGGCCCCUAAGGCGAGGCAGAGAUGCGUAGCUGAUGGGAAGCAGGUUAAUAUUCCUGCACCGUCGUAUGAUGCGAUGGGGGGACGGAUCGCGGAAGGUUGUCCGGGUGUUGGAWGUCCCGGUCCCUGCAUUGGAGAWGGCRCUUAGGCAAAUCCGGGYGCGKRAUUCAAGGRUGUGGGGCGAGCGRCYUWRKGYYGCGAAGCAAUUGGAAGUGGUUCCAAGAAAAGCCUCUAAGCUUCAGUCAUACGAGACCGUACCGCAAACCGACACAGGUGGGCGAGAUGAGUAUUCUAAGGCGCUUGAGAGAACUCGGGAGAAGGAACUCGGCAAAUUGGUACCGUAACUUCGGGAUAAGGUACGCCCUUGUAGUUUGACUGGCUCGCGCCAGAAGGACGAAGGGGUUGCAAUAAAAUGGUGGCUGCGACUGUUUAAUAAAAACACAGCACUCUGCAAACACGAAAGUGGACGUAUAGGGUGUGACGCCUGCCCGGUGCCGGAAGAUUAAAUGAUGGGGUGCAAGCUCUUGAUUGAAGUCCCGGUAAACGGCGGCCGUAACUAUAACGGUCCUAAGGUAGCGAAAUUCCUUGUCGGGUAAGUUCCGACCUGCACGAAUGGCGUAACGAUGGCCACACUGUCUCCACCCAAGACUCAGCGAAAUUGAACUUGCUGUGAAGAUGCAGCAUACCUGCGGCUAGACGGAAAGACCCCGUGCACCUUUACUAUAGCUUUACACUGGACUUUGAAUACAUUUGUGUAGGAUAGGUGGGAGGCUUUGAAGCGUAAUCGCUAGAUUGCGUGGAGCCAACCUUGAAAUACCACCCUGAUGUGUUUGGAGUUCUAACUUAGACCCAUUAUCUGGGUUGAGGACAGUGUAUGGUGGGUAGUUUGACUGGGGCGGUCUCCUCCUAAAGAGUAACGGAGGAGCACAAAGGUACCCUAAGGGCGGUCGGAAAUCGCUCGAUUAGUGCAAUGGCAUAAGGGUGCUUGACUGCGAGACAGACACGUCGAGCAGGGACGAAAGUCGGUCAUAGUGAUCCGGUGGUUCUGUAUGGAAGGGCCAUCGCUCAACGGAUAAAAGGUACGCCGGGGAUAACAGGCUGAUUCCUCCCAAGAGUUCAUAUCGACGGGGGAGUUUGGCACCUCGAUGUCGGCUCAUCACAUCCUGGGGCUGUAGUCGGUCCCAAGGGUAUGGCUGUUCGCCAUUUAAAGUGGUACGCGAGCUGGGUUUAGAACGUCGUGAGACAGUUCGGUCCCUAUCUGCCGUAGGCGUUGGAGAUUUGAGAGGAGCUGCUCCUAGUACGAGAGGACCGGAGUGGACGUAUCUCUGGUGUUCCGGUUGUCACGCCAGUGGCAUUGCCGGGUAGCUAAAUACGGACAGGAUAACCGCUGAAAGCAUCUAAGCGGGAAGCCCCCCUCAAGAUUAGAUCUCCCUGAGUCUUUAAGACUCCACAAGGUCCGUCGGAGACUACGACGUUGAUAGGCUGGGUGUGGAAGCGCAGUAAUGUGUGAAGCUAACCAGUACUAAUUGGCCGUGAGGCUUGACCAUAUAACACCAAAG
rnacentral:rRNA from 1 species